GACGAACGCUGGCGGCGUGCUUAACACAUGCAAGUCGAACGCAGUGGCGAACGGGUGAGUAACGCGUAAUCAACCUGCCCUUCAGAGGGGGAUAACAGUUGGAAACGACUGCUAAUACCGCAUACUGAAGGAGGGGCUUGCGUCUGAUUAGCUAGUUGGGGGGGUAACGGCCCACCAAGGCGAUGAUCAGUAGCCGGUCCGGGAGGGUGAACGGCCAAAUUGGGACUGGGACACGGCCCAGAAUCCUAAGGGAGGGAGCAGUGGGGAAUCUUCCGGAAUGGACGAAAGUCUGGCGGGGCAAAGCCGCGGGAGUGAUGACGGCCUUCGGGUUGGAAAGCUCUGUUAAUCGGGACGCGGUACCGGAAUAGAAAGCCACGGCUAACUACGUGCCAGCAGCCGCGGUAAUUC
rnacentral:rRNA from 1 species